GAUGAACGCUGGCGGCGUGCCUAAUACAUGCAAGUCGAGCGAACAGGUAAGGAGCUUGCUCCUUUGACGUUAGCGGCGGACGGGUGAGUAACACGUGGAUAACCUACCUAUAAGACUGGGAUAACUUCGGGAAACCGGAGCUAAUACCGGAUAACAUAUUGAACCGCAUGGUUCAAUAGUGAAAGGCGGCUUUGCUGUCACUUAUAGAUGGAUCCGCGCCGUAUUAGCUAGUUGGUAAGGUAACGGCUUACCAAGGCAACGAUACGUAGCCGACCUGAGAGGGUGAUCGGCCACACUGGAACUGAGACACGGUCCAGACUCCUACGGGAGGCAGCAGUAGGGAAUCUUCCGCAAUGGGCGAAAGCCUGACGGAGCAACGCCGCGUGAGUGAUGAAGGUCUUCGGAUCGUAAAACUCUGUUAUCAGGGAAGAACAAAUGUGUAAGUAACUGUGCACAUCUUGACGGUACCUGAUCAGAAAGCCACGGCUAACUACGUG
rnacentral:rRNA from 1 species